UAGUUGGUGAGGUAAAGGCUCACCAAGGCGACGAUCUGUAGCUGGUCUGAGAGGAUGAUCAGCCACACUGGGACUGAGACACGGCCCAGACUCCUACGGGAGGCAGCAGUGGGGAAUAUUGGACAAUGGGCGAAAGCCUGAUCCAGCCAUGCCGCGUGUGUGAAGAAGGCCUUUUGGUUGUAAAGCACUUUAAGUGGGGAGGAAAAGCUUGUGGUUAAUACCCAUAAGCCCUGACGUUACCCACAGAAUAAGCACCGGCUAACUCUGUGCCAGCAGCCGCGGUAAUACAGAGGGUGCAAGCGUUAAUCGGAAUUACUGGGCGUAAAGCGAGCGUAGGUGGCUGUUUAAGUCAGAUGUGAAAGCCCCGGGCUUAACCUGGGAACUGCAUCUGAUACUGGACAGCUAGAGUAGGUGAGAGGGGAGUAGAAUUCCAGGUGUAGCGGUGAAAUGCGUAGAGAUCUGGAGGAAUACCGAUGGCGAAGGCAGCUCCCUGGCAUCAUACUGACACUGAGGUUCGAAAGCGUGGGUAGCAAACAGGAUUAGAUACCCUGGUAGUCCACGCCGUAAACGAUGUCUACCAGUCGUUGGGUCCCUUGAGG
rnacentral:rRNA from 1 species